rfam:Ornithorhynchus anatinus chromosome 1, whole genome shotgun sequence.
UCCCUCUCACAAUCGCACCUGGAGAGUUUCCAGUACUCUACCAGUCUCGGCUAUGGGAGGGAGAGUCAAGCAGAGGCCUAUCCAUUCCACUCCUAGCUUGGGCAGUGGCUAGUGCAUGGAAGGCAAACUGUUACAAGU